GGGUUGGAUCCGACGCCUCUAGAAGGCUACUAUAGGCUCUCCUUCUCAACUCCUAUUCAAUACGUCCACGN
rnacentral:ribozyme from 1 species